rnacentral:rRNA from 1 species
GAUGAACGCUGGCGGCGUGCCUAAUACAUGCAAGUCGAGCGAACGGACGAGAAGCUUGCUUCUCUGAUGUUAGCGGCGGACGGGUGAGUAACACGUGGAUAACCUACCUAUAAGACUGGGAUAACUUCGGGAAACCGGAGCUAAUACCGGACAAUAUUUUGAACCGCAUGGUUCAAAAGUGAAAGACGGUCUUGCUGUCACUUAUAGAUGGAUCCGCGCUGCAUUAGCUAGUUGGUAAGGUAACGGCUUACCAAGGCAACGAUGCGUAGCCGACCUGAGAGGGUGAUCGGCCACACUGGAACUGAGACACGGUCCAGACUCCUACGGGAGGCAGCAGUAGGGAAUCUUCCACAAUGGGCGAAAGCCUGACGGAGCAACGCCGCGUGUGUGAUGAAGGUCUUCGGAUCGUAAAGCUCUGUUAUUAGGGAAGAACAUAUGUGUGAGUAACUGUGCACAUAUUGACGGUACCUGAACAGAAAGCCACGGCUAACUACGUG